rnacentral:rRNA from 1 species
UACGAAGGGGGCUAGCGUUGCUCGGAAUCACUGGGCGUAAAGCGCACGUAGGCGGCUUCUUAAGUCAGGGGUGAAAUCCUGGAGCUCAACUCCAGAACUGCCUUUGAUACUGAGGAGCUUGAGUCCGGGAGAGGUGAGUGGAACUGCGAGUGUGGAGGUGAAAUUCGUAGAUAUUCGCAAGAACACCAGUGGCGAAGGCGGCUCACUGGCCCGGUACUGACGCUGAGGUGCGAAAGCGUGGGGAGCAAACAGG